CGGGACGUGGCGCAGCUUGGUAGCGCACCCGCUUUGGGAGCGGGGGGUCGCAGGUUCAAAUCCUGUCGUCCCGACCA
rnacentral:tRNA from 1 species